rnacentral:lncRNA from 1 species
UUAAAAAUUAUCACUGCGCGGAUGAAGUUGAGGCUGAUUCUACAAAGCCGGACUAAAAUUGUGCCGUGGCGUUUUUUCGCUACGUGGAACCGAGCUCAAGGGUAUUGAUAUAGUUAUUUCUCAUAUUUUCAGGGAAGGCAACGAAUAUCGUGGCGAUGGCGAGCCCUCACACGCCGAAAGGUCGGCGAUCCCGAUUAUUUCUACACAUAUUAUGCUUCAGAUGAGUAACAUAUUUUUCGUUUUAUUUUUCUUUGAUUGUGAAGGGAUGAAGCAUUAUUUAUAAGCAUAAAUUUAGUGUAUCUCUUAAUUAA